CCCAGGGGACCUUCACUCUCUUUCUCCAGGGGCUCUUUGGCAGGAAGCUGGUCCAAGCUCUGACUCUACAUUUUCUUCCAGCACAAAGUUUGCCCUUCUCAGCACACUUUUCAAGACCUUCUGUAACUCUCAGUGGAAAGAAAUUCUCUAUCCUUCCCUUUUCCUUUAACGACAGUUUUCCCAUCAUUUUUUCCCAUUAUCCAGAGCUGCUCUGGCUCAAGAAGAACUCAGAGAAGCUGGAUAUUCUGGGCUUGUGCCUGGUUCUCUGGGGCUGGGUCAUUGGGACAUCUGUUUGGACGAUUCAAAUUACAGAAGCUGCGCUGGAUGGCAACUCUGGCUUAAGGACUUGCCAGGUCAUUUGUGGAACAGUCCUGGUGUGGGUUCUUCUAAAAACAGACCCUAAGUUUUGGCUGCAAGUUGCUUCUAUGGGAAAUGGUCCCUCUCUGUGGUCCAGGAAAAGCCAAGAUGUCAACUCAACUGCUUCAGUGAGGCACCUGCUCUGUUGCCUCUCAACCUGGAUGGCGGUGGCCCUUGCCUGACACUCCCGCCCAUGCCUAGUUCCCCACCUUCUCAAUUUUUCUGGUUUCCUUCACUCAUCCUAAGGCCAGCACUAUGCUUGUAACCCAUGGCAGUACUUGGAAAACAGCAAGCAAAAAAAGACUUUGAUCUGUCCACCUUUUUUUCUUUUUGCACUUUCAUGGACAAAAGAGAGAUUCAAUGUUCAAGUGCUUGGCCCUUGUUUACGUAUAAUAGCUUGUCGAAUUUCCCACCCCAUCAAUGGAAUUUAGGCUACUCGUGAUAAGACGCAACUUCGGAAUAAUAAAAAUA
ensembl:lncRNA